rnacentral:lncRNA from 1 species
UGAGUGAGUUAUGAAGUGCCUCGUGUUCUUUGUUGCUGCAGUUUUGGUGGCAUCUCAAUGCCAUGGCGCUUCCUUCCGAAGCUUCCCUCUGAGCAUGACAACUGGUUAUGGCGACGGUGCUAGUGACACGGAGGUACGAUGCGCCAGUUGGAGGCUUGCGGUGGAAGCACAGAACAUCUUCGGCUUUGAAACCAUUCCUCAACAGUGCGUAGACGCUACAGCCAACUACAUCGAAGGAGGACAAUACAGAUCAGACUCCAAAACAGUUAACCAACAGAUUUACUUUUUCGCUAGAGAUCGCCAUGUCCAUGAGAACGAUGUCAUUCUGUUCAACAUAGAUGGAACUGCACUCUCCAAUAUCCCAUACUAUUCUCAACAUGGAUAUGGGUACACUCUUCUCUUUUCUCUUCUUUUCUUUACCUACUAUUCUCCUUAUUCAUCCACCUUUUUGGUUUCUUUGUCCCUACCAACCACAUCAAACAAAGGUUUUUCAUGCAUGGAAACCUAUAUAAUAUAUAAUAUGUGUUUUCGUAUGUUAUAUUUUAGAAAUUAUAAGUAUCUCUGCGUCACUGUGUUAUGUGCCGUGUUCAUGUCGUAUCAGUGUUUGUGUGCGGAGUUUAGACGAACUUAUGAUCUUCUGGGUGUUGAGUAUUCUCUUUACUUGUGAAUAACUUUGUGAUAUAGAUCGGAGAAAUUCGAUUCCGAACGCUAUGACGAAGAGUUUGUUAACAAGGGUGAGGCACCAGCAUUGCCUGAGACUCUCAAGAAUUACAACAAACUGGUGUCUCUUGGCUACAAGAUUAUCUUCUUAAGUGGAAGGCUAAAGGACAAAAGAGCUGUAACUGAAGCCAACCUAAAGAAGGCUGGUUACAACACAUGGGAGAAGUUGAUUCUCAAGUGAGUUUCAAUACUUGUUUACUUAAAGUAUGAUAACACGUGUACUUUAAGCUUAACUCAUCUUCCUAGGAUUAUCGUGUAUGUGUACUUUAAGUUUAACUCAUUCUCGUAGGAUUAUUGUGUACUUUAAGCUUAACUUUUCUUGGAUUAUCGAUUUAUAAGAUGAGGUUCGAUUUUGGUUGCAGGGACCCAUCUAACAGUGCUGAAAAUGUAGUUGAAUACAAAACAGCUGAGAGAGCGAAGCUGGUGCAGGAGGGUUACAGAAUCGUUGGAAAUAUUGGAGACCAGUGGAACGAUCUGAAGGGAGAGAACAGAGCAAUAAGGAGCUUUAAGCUGCCUAAUCCCAUGUACUACACUAAGUAGUUCAUCUCAUGGCUCUAGCUUGCUCCUAUAUAUGUAUCAAAUAAGUAAUCCAAAGAGGAGCAUUGCCUGUGUAUCAACUAGUCACCUAAGAGACUCCACUACUUUGUUUUCUCUUUGUGGCUUUAAUAAAUUAUGAAACUUUCUCAACUUACUUUUUUAAGUAAAACUAGUUUAUUAUUAUAUAAAUAAAGUAAUAAAUGUAAAAAGAAGAAGGUAAUUAGCUAAGUUCUAAAAAUUUACUAUGCCAAAAAGAAAAGAUGUCUAGUAGGGCCUGAUGAAUGUAAAAUUUAAAAAACAUUUGUAAACUCCUUCCUCACUAAUUUUUUUUUUUUUAAUUGUAUGUUGUGAUUGUUAUUUUUGUACAUAGUUUCAUUUAUAAAUGUCGUUAUUUAUGUUGUGAUGGUCCCGAAUACCAUCACAUGUUGUCAUAUGACAAUUUAUUUUGAUCCACUCUAGCUAGUACCCACCAUAUAAUAUCUUGUAUAAAAUAACGUUGUUAAGUGUGUAGUUUAUGAUAGUUAUAAAUAUCGUAAUAUUUUAAGUUGUCAAAACAAUUUCAGUGUAAAUAACUAAACUUUUAAACACCACUUUAUAUACUACAUUUGUAAACAUCAAUAUUAAAUUAAAUUGUGAAAUAUUAUAUACUAAUUAUAAUUGUGUAAUCCAAGUAUUAAAUAUUUUAACUUUUAAUAUUUUAUUGAACUUGUUUUCAUGAUAUAAUUAAACAUGUUUUCAUAUAGUUAACUCUAUUUUCACAAAUUAAUUUUAUAAUAUAAUUAAACUCAUAAAUACUAAUAGUUGAAUAAACAUAUAAACAAAUUUAUAAUAAAAACGACUUUAUUCAUUCAUUGAUAGAUCAAAAUUUAUAUGUCAUUUCACAUUAUACCAAACUACAAGCGCAUGAAAAUGAUAACUUAAAAUUUACAAAAUAAUAAUUGUUUCACAUUUGACACCGUAGAAGACACAUCCUAAUAUGUUUUGCUUCCUCUGGAUGAUCUUAGAAUGUUUUGGUUUGGUGAUGAUGCCUAUUGAUUUGAUGAUAUUAAUUAAAAUAGUUAAAUAGCCCAAGGUUUUAAUGUGAUAAACUUUUACCCUUGUUUUGAGGCUUGUGAGGUUUUAUAACAUGUUAGGUAACUUAAGAACAUACACUUGUUUGUGUGUAUGCUUUUCUGAGCUUUGACACUUAGUGUAACCCAAUUGAAUAUCUUGGUCAAUUGACUUUUGCUCAUUGAUUGUGGUUGAAUAACUUAUUUAUGGUGUUGGAUUGGCUUUUUUCCGGUUGAUUAGAAGCUUUCUGCCCAACUUUUUAAGCUUUAUCGUAUAAGGAUUUUAAACUAAGGAAUUGCUUAUGUUUAUUCUUUUGGUACCUCUCUUUGUGAAAGAUGAUAAUUUUAAUAUGAUGAUUGAUAUGUGGUCUAUGCAUAGGUUUAUAUAUUAGAAAGUACAAUAUCUAUUUUUCAAGGCGUAUAUUAGAAAAUAAGAUUGAGUCUAACUCGACAGUACAAAACAUGUUUGUAAGAUGAGGAUUAUCUUUACUUGUAUACUAAAAAUUAGUCUUAUCUCUACUUGAUUUGUGAUAUCGAACAUAUAAUCCUCACGAGACAUAAGCAUCCCAUAUGUGAAACUUUCCGUUGUGAGACUUGAUAUUUAGAGAUAAUUCAAAAACACGUGACACAAUAGGUAACAAAUCUCAUUAAGAUAAAUUAUUAUACAAUAUUAGAAAAUUGAUCUUAUUUUUUAUUAUUAAAUUAAUAUUUUUAUUUUAUUAUGUAUUCAUAUAAAAUUACUAGUAUUAUAACUAUGAAUAAACAUCCUAUGCGCGUAUUCUACAUAAAGUAUCAAUUCCAUAUCAUUCUUAAUAGUUAUUAGUAUCAUAACUAUUUUUAUUAUUAUUAUUAGCCUUAUUAUUAUCAUCAUUAUCUUAAUCAAUAUUAUUAUUAUAUUAUUGUGGACAUUUAUUAACAAAUAUUGAUUCACGUCAAAUUAUCAAAGAAUAAUUAUUAUAGAGAUAUGGAUUGACGUCAAAUUAUCAUUGUUGUUGGUAUGACUUUGACCAUCUUGUCAAUGAAUUCACCUAUAGACCCUUCUUCCUCAGUAUGAUUCUGGUAGUUUCUUAACCCUAGAAACGUUACACAUCCGAUUGGACCAAAUUUUGUCCAAGGGAUACCCUAGUAUGAACUAUGUCUCUAGGAAUAUCACCAUUGCUUCAGUUGUGGUGGUGACGAAGGGAGUCUUUUUGGGUGCCAUUUGCAAUUCUUUGCAAUGAAAGUUUAAAAGAGAGGAAGCAAUAUUCAAACUUUUUUUCUCAGAAAAGUGAGUGCCUGUAACGAAACUCUUGAGCAUCAAAUUAGGUUAUCCUGUGAAAGUUGGAUCCAAGGUGACAGUUUGACUUCAGAUGACGAUAUGGACAACAUGAAACCAUGAAACACUUAAUGUGUAUGUAGUUAUUCUAUACCUUUUUGUUUUGUCAUAAAUGUCUUUUAAAGCAUCUGAACUAAAUAAUUAUUUCUCAUUAAAAUUGUUACUGAUUACUUUUGUUGCCUUUACAUUGUUUGAUCUGUAUCUCCUGAAACAUUUCUUUGUUAGACAAAGUUCAAACUAUAAGUCCUUUAAUUUAGACAUUCUUCAUGCACCUUAGACCUUCCACAUAUUCUAUGCAGUCUUUACCAUUCAUCAAGAGGAGUAUCUCAUCCUGAUGUAUGAGAAUGCAAAUUUUCUCUCCCAAACUCCUUCUAGAUGGUCUUUAUNNNNNNNNNNNNNNNNNNNNNNNNNNNNNNNNNNNNNNNNNNNNNNNNNNNNNNNNNNNNNNNNNNNNNNNNNNNNNNNNNNNNNNNNNNNNNNNNNNNNAUAUAUAUAUAUAUAUAUAUAUAUAUAUAUAUAUAUAUAACACUACCUUUUUUUUUUCAUUUGUAUUCGCUCUGUUUCCUUCCUUUAGUAGUGCAAAUUUCUAUCGCACCAUCCAAAUAAAGUAUGCAUUAUGUGUCUUUUUUGGGUCCUCUGUACUCCUUUUCAUGACCUCGAAACCAUGCAAUCUGCUGUCAAAACUAUGUACGCUUAUUGUCAUUUUUUUCUCAAUAGAUACUUCAGACUGAUAUCUCCUCGUGUACACUCCUUUGAGAAAUAAUUAUAUAGACAAAAUUGUAUUUUCAGCAAAACAGAGCAUCGACAUCAUCACAGAAAAGAAUCAAUAAAAUAAUUUAGCAACUCAUAAAACAUUAUCUCAACGGGAAUUGUAAACCAGCACUGAACAGUUAGAUUACGUGCGGGCUCCUCGGCAGCACUGCACUGGUCCUCUUUCAGGGGAGGGCAGAAGUGAAGAACAUACAUUUCCUUUUUGUCACCGCAGCAAAGCCUUAUUUUUUUUGCUUUGAAAAAUCUAAGGCAACGGUAUCACUUACAAUAAUUUCAAGAGCUCCAUCUUGGUUAUCUUGAUUUGACGCAGUUCCCAUCAAAACACUUUUCUCUUUCUCCAGAUUCUAUCUCCAUCUUCAGCCUUGCUUUCUGACGAGCAAUCUCAGCCUGGAACAUUAAAAAAUGGAGGACAGUGAGGAUGUCUUACGAAUUGAGAACUACCUAGUAAUUUAAGCUAUAAUUCAUGCACAACCAUUUCCAUGCUCAGUAGAACUGCAGAACGCAGUUAACAUUCCAUAUUUUUUUGUUUAUUUUAGAAAAAUUGAGAGCUACCUACGUAGUAAAUUAAGUCAUAAUUCAUCCACAGCCAUUUCCAUGCUUAGCUGAUAAAAGGAAUGUAACAGAGUUUUAACAAUAAAACUUAACUAGGAACAACAGUAUUCUCUCAUUUCAUCUGAUCAACCAUAAACAGUAUUUUACAACUAUUAGAUCUUAAAAGUUAAAAUGUUAAAUUAUUGAUGUGUUAAAAUAGUAUUUUGUUAAUAGGUCUUUUCAAUAUUAUCUUUUGAAAGAACAUAAUGUUCAACUUUACAUGUCAAGAGUUAGAGAAGCUCCAUGAUUUACAUAGAGGGUGUUUGGAUAAAUGUUGCAUUUAGUUGGCUCGCGUUCCAAAGGUUCAGUCAGUUACCAAGAAGUAACAGAUUGUAUCUUUGAAAUGAACGUGUGUUUCAGACCUUAACACAGAAAAACCAACAUGAAUAUAGACUCUCAAACUUCACAGCCUUUAUUACAAAGGCAAUAGUCUUAUCCCACUAGGAGAGAGCACAUUAAAGUAAGAAAAAUUAAAAGGAUUAAAAAUUUGAGAGAAAUAGGUAAUCAGUAGACACCUCACAGCGAGAAAGAUCAGCCUUCCAAGCAGCUUCACGUCCGCAACCUCACGUUCACGCUCAACAAUGUAGCUUUGCAUCUCUCUAUCUUUCCUGAUCCUAUCCUGAAUAUCAACCUCCAAUGCUUCCUGCAAUUCCUGGACAAACUUAUCUACCACUGCCUUUAUUCGGAGAGACAUCUUGUACUAAAACCUCAACCUGAAAAGACACAAGUCCAAAAUCCAAUUCCUCAGUUUCAUAAAUGGAAUUCGCUUGCACAUUAGUUUAGCUCAUUUUUCAAAGAUUUUUUUUUUAGCUUCUUGAGAAAGUAAAAGCCCACAUAACAAUCAUGUCCUUAAAAUUAAUGCAAACUAAACAUUUUUUUCCUUUUAAGUCCGGAGAAAAGAUUUACAUAGAAUUUUUAUUGCAAUAAAUUUCAAAUUUAGGCUGAGAAUGAAGGCUGAGAAUGAAAACGCAGCUUCAUGUCAUGUAAAAAAUAAAAAUUCAUAGAGUAAAGAACAAGCAGCAGAAAUAUAAAAAAUACACUUUAUGCAUCUCUCAAAUUCUACAAUGUUCUUUAAAAGAAAUAACCUAAUAACUUUUCCUCAACAGAAUAUUUUACAGAAAAAACAAAACAAACCGUAAACAAUGUUGUGUACAUCAAACACACCUCUUCCUUUUUUUAUUCCCUGGAACCCUGUUAUUCUGCAAAAAUCCAACGGAAAUUUGGUGUUUCUGAAAUUCAUUUGGUUCAAAUUAAGCCUUCAAGAAGUGAUUGUGAAAGUGUAUGUAAUUGAAAGGGAGUGAGAAUUUAGAAGACGACCUCAAGGACAUCCUUCCCCAAAAAACGUCUUGUACCCAGCAGAGUCUUCCUCUUCCACUUCUGAGAGUGUGUAGUACUUUAGGCAUUUUUGUUUUCAAAUGAUUAGUACAUACCAGCUAUAGAACAAUCUACCAAAACAAAUACAUAACACCAUUCAAAACUCUCAAUGGCUUAGCCUCCAUGAAUAAGUACAAACACUUUCAGGUUUGAUAGAUUUGACUGAUUAAGUAGCUGAGUCUAGUCAUAUAUGGCACUUGUCUUCUUCUAUGUACUAAUUACUUCUAGACCCAAUUCCUUUAGUUCAUUCUCUCUCACUGUUAGUAUACAACAUGCAGCCACAAGAUAAAUUUUGUGAUGAGAACAAUCUUUCCUCCAAAAGAAGUACUUGAUGUCUUCCGUAGUCAUGAAGUUCAUAUCAGCAUCUUGUGAAAAACACUGAGUACACCAUCCUUGAAAGCUUCCAACAAAAUCCAGAAAACAAAAAUACAAAAAUCAUAAGAACAUUUUAUCAUCAUAACCAUCUAGAUUAUCUAAACACUGCAGUAACAACAUUUGAUUGACAAAAUUACCGAACAAUUUAAUUCCUUGAUUUAGUUGUUGUAGUUGUGUGUAUAUCUCGUCACAUUGGGGAUGGGAAUGAUCUUCAGCGUUGAAAGCAUGCACUUUAUUCUUCACUUCUAUCCAACUCCAACCUGGAACCUUUUUCACUCUCCUUUCUCGCAUCAUCCUUGUUACAGUAGCCUUCUCAUCCCACAUUUUGAAUCGUCCAUACAUUUCAGAGAGUAUAACAUAAGUGCAGUGGUCCUCAGGCUCCAGCUCUAGCAAAGUUUUUGCUAUUUGAGAAGCUAAUUCAAUAUCACCACAAAAUCUACAUGCACCUAACAAAGUUUUCAACACCAUUGCAUCAGGUUCAAAAGGCAUUGUUUCAACCAAAGCUUUUGCCUUCUCAAGAUGCCCUGCCCGACCAUAGAGAUCAAUUGCACAAGCAUAGUGCUCGUGUCGUCGUGGAAUACCAAAAUCAGACUCCAUGGACUCUAUAAAUUUGCAGCCUUCUUCUACUAGCCCAUUAUGACUGCACGCAGUUAGAACUGCAACAAAGGUUAUAUGAUCAGGUUUCACCUUUCUCUUAUUCAUUAAGUGAAAGAGGUCAAGCGCAAUGUUUCCCUGUCCAUGUUGUGCAUACCCAAAGAUGAUUGAAUUCCAAACAAUUGCAUAGUCUUUGGAUGUUGCUUCAAAAGAUUUCCUAGCAUCUUUUAUGAUCCCACAUUUAGAAUACAUGAAUAUCAACGAACUCCCAACAUAAUUAUUGUUAUCAAAUCCUACUUUAAGUGCUAAGACAUGAACCUGUUGACCUAACUGUAGAGUUGCUAAAUCCGAGCAUGAUCUUAUGACAGCCGAAAAGGUAUAAUGGUCAAUUUCUACGACCAAAGAUCUCAUAUGUAGAAAUAGCCUCAAGGCAUCUUCACUCAAACCAACUUGAACAUAUCCUGCCAAAAUGCAGUUCCAAGUGCAACAAUCUUUUAGAUUCAUUGAAAAGAAUAUUCUUAAUGCAUCUUCCAUGCCCUUAUCAUUAAAUCUGAUGUACAUGGCAAUCAAAGCAUUGGAAAUAGGAACAGAAUCUUCAAGACCGCUUUUUAUCACCAACCCAUGCAAACAUUUUCCAUUGCUUUUACACUCUUGUACAGAACAAGCACUGACACUCCCAGUGUAAGUAUAAGUAUCAGGCUCAAACCCAAAAUUCUGCAUAUCAAUGAACACUUUAAAUGCAAGAUCUUCUUUCUCGUGCAUCAAAUAAGCACUAAGAAUGGAAUUCCAUGUAACCACAUCACGACAAGCAACAGCACCAUGAAAUACUCUCUCAGCAUCUUGCAAAGAACAACAAUCAGAAUAGGCUAUGAUAGAAGCAUUGCAGACAGUGUUAAACAAUUCCAACCCAUGUUUCACAAUUUUACAAUGCAACUGCAUUGUCAACCAACAAAACUCAGCAUCAUCAAGCAAUGUCAAAAGUGGAGACAUCGUGCCAUCAUCAAUUUCUACACCCUCAAGCUCCAUACAACGUAGCACCCGGAACGCCAUGUCACGAUCACCAACUCGUGAAUAACCAGCAACAAGUGUAUUCCACGACACAUAAUUACGCUCUGGCAUGGUUUGAAAAAUAAUGUACGCAUCAUCAACUCUCCCACACUUGGCAUACAUGUCCAAGAGGGCACUACCAGAAAACAUAUUUUCUGAUAACCCCAUCUUGAGCAUGAUAGAAUGCACCUGUUCACCAAGUGACAGCUCACCAGCUUGGGCGACACCCUUGAGAAUGCUUCCCAAUGUGUGGCUGUCAAAUGCAAGAGCUGACCUUCUCAUGGCACUGACGAUUUUCCAUGUGGUGCCCAGGUGCCCAGAGUUUACAUAAGCAGAAACGAUGGCGUUCCAAGACACAGUGUCUCUGUGAGGCAUUUCGUCGAAUAGUUGGUGAGCAGAUGUUAAUUUUGUGCAUUUUGCGUACGAAGUUAUGAGGUUGUUGGCAAUGUAAAGGUUUGCGAUGGAGCCUAACUUGAUGGCUUGGCAGUGGGUUGCUUUGAGGCCAAGCAAAGUGAAGAAGUGCAACCUCUUCAUUCAUGAGCAUCUGAAAGGGAUGAUAAUAGUCUGGUUCUGGAAUACAUAAGAUUUUGAUGCUCAAAACGGAAUCUGAACAAGACACAGACAAUGGAACAGGGAAAGUUCUCUAAAUUAACCAAGAGGUUGCCUUUCAAUAUUCAAACUAAUCUUAGAGUCGUGGGAUGCACAAUGUAAAAAUUAAAAACAAAAUAAAAGCUCUCUAUUAGAUGAUAAAAAAUUCUUAUAUAAUAUUUUAGAUUUUCAAUUAUAACUACCUUAUCAGUUAUUACUGUUCUAUCAGUAUCAUUUAUUUUUAUUUUUAUCUUUUAUCUUUUUUAAUGUGCUAUAUAAAUAUAACACUCAAUAAUCUAUGUGUAACAAUUCUUCAUCAAUAAAAUAUAUCAUUUUCUUUUCUCCUUUUCUCUUAUUUCUCUGUAUAAAAUAUAAAAUAAAAAAAACUAAUAUCGUAUCAGAGUAUUUAGAAGCUCGUCAUCAUCUCUUUUGUUUCACUAUAUGAAAUAUCCAAAACUAAUACUCUCUUAAACCAAUGAAAGAUGAAAAGGGAUUCAAUCCUUGAAAUCCAUGUGUUUUAUGAUUAAAAAAGUGCAAAACAUCUUUUUCAUUGCGUUCACAGCUUAUAACGUGGAUCAUAAAAAAAAUGCCACGGGUGUAGUCACAAACAAUAUUUUACCCUCUCUAUGAAGCCAUUGGUGUUGUGUAUAUAAAGAACAAAAGCCAAAGCCAUGAAGCUGCAAGUGUAAGCUGUGACAGAACUAACAGUGACGAUGAGAAUGAAGGUGUUUGUUUUUGUUCUUGCUGUGAGUGUAGGAGCGUGGCAAUGUGAGGGUUCAGAGCAUGGCCAUGAGAACCAGAUUUUCCCUCUGAGAAUGAAAACUGGUUCUGGUGGCCACUACAUUCCAGAGGUUUCGUGCCAGAGUUGGAGGGUUGGUGUGGAAGCACAUAACGUGGUAGAGUGGAAAACUGUUCCUGCAGAUUGUGAGGGAUACGUAGGGAACUACAUGCUUGGUAAACAAUAUAGAUCAGACUCCAAAACUGUUUGCCAUGAAGCUUUUUCUUAUGCCAAAACCCUAAAUAUCACUUCCAGAGACAUAUGGGUGUUCGACGUAGAUGAGACCACACUCUCUAAUCUCCCAUAUUAUGCUCACCAUGGAUUUGGGUAUGUUCUCUUUUCAUUUUUCCUGUGAAAAUCUCACAUGAUGGCACAUUUCAUGAUAUUGUGAAUGUGAUUUAAAAGCGGUUAUACACGUAAGAAAUUAUGUAAAUUAAUAAUUUCUAUAAAGUGAUUUACAUGACUUAAAGUUUGUGUUUUGGGUCCGAUUUAAAAGUGGUUAUAUAUAUAUAUAUAUGUAAGAAAUAUAUAUCUGAUGAUAUACCUAAUGAAAAUCGACAUCUGGUGGAGAUUGUAAACUAAAGGCUAUAGGGUUUUGUCUCUGCAAAUAAUAGUUAUCUCAGUGUUAACCAUGAAAGUGUGUGACAAAAACGGAAUUGCUAAGAGAUAGAUUGGGACAAAGGAGAUAAAGUAGUUGUUCAAGUAUGAUCACUCAUGGAUCAAGGUAAGUGUCUAUUCCUUUUUGAUUGUAUGAAUACAUGUGAGAAUCAUAAGAUAUGUAUGUGAACAUUAUUGUAUGCGUUCAUAAUCAUGUUUAAUCUAAUCGUGUUUUAACUUACAAUAUAUAUAUAUAUACAUAUAGGGUGGAACCAUAUAAUGCGACAACGUCUGAUGAAUGGGUUGAAGUUGGUGAGGCACCAGCACUGCCUGAGAGUCUGAAACUGUACAAGAAACUGUUGUCACUUGGCAUCAAGAUUGUGUUCUUGACAGGAAGACCACUGAACCAGAAGGCUGUCACAGUUACCAACUUAAAGAUUGCAGGAUACCACAAAUGGGAAAAAUUGAUUCUAAAGUCAGUAUUUUUCACUACAAAUCUUCUAUGUUUCAUCUCCAAAUUGCGGUUCAUUAUCCAAUUUUAUGUGAUUUAUGGGAAUCCUAAUACAUGUUUCUCCAUACAAAUCCUCCAAGGAAUCAGUAAUAUACCCUACACUGAUGUCACAAAACAUGUUGUAUCUGCAUCCACGGCUAAAAGAACUAAGUUUUUACUUCUUAUUAGUCAAUCGAAUUUAAAAACAAGUGAACCUUAUAAAAUUCACUUAAUUAAUAUUAUGUUAUAAGUCGAUUUUAUAAAAUUUAGUUAGAAUUAAAGUGAACUUCUUAAUAUAGUAUUAGAGUCAUUUAAUUUAAUGUCUACGUAUUUUAGCAAAAAUUAGUUCAAACUACCUGUUAUUGGACCAUCCAUAGUAUAUAGUCUAAUGCACAAAGAUCUCAACCGGAGAGGUUCUAAAGAUAAAAAUUAUAUAUAUAUAUAUAUAUAUAUAAAUACAAAUCUCACCUUAUAAACCGAUUUUAUAAAAUUGAGUUAAAAUCGCAUUCUUAACAAUUAUUUUUACAAUAUUUUAAUAUUAGGCUUCAUACGGAUGAGAAUACAUAUAUAUAUAUAUGUUAGUUAACACUACAAGAAAAUCAUGAAAUAGAAACUAAUUUUUAGAGAUCAAAAUAAUUAGUUGCAAUAGUAACUAAAUUAGAGACCAUUUUAGAAACUAAAUAAAAAAUUGGUUUCUAAAUUAGUUUCUAUUAUUGUUAAAUAGUUUCUAAAUUGGUAUUUAACUAGAAACCAAGGUUUUAGAUACCAAAUUUAGAAACUAAAUAAUUGGUAGUUAAAACCUUGGUUACUAAUUAGAUAUCAAUUUAGAAACUAUUUAAUAAUAAUAAAAACUAAUUUAGAAAUCAAUUUUUUAUUUAGUUUCUAAAAUGGUUUCUAAUUUAGUUACUAUUGCAACUAAUUAUUUUGAUCUCUAAAAUGGUUUCUAUUUCAUGAUUUUCUUGUAGUGUUAACUAACAUAUAUAUAUAUGUAUUCUCAUCCGUAUGAAGCCUAAAAUUUUUUAUUUAGUUUCUAAAAUGGUUUCUAUUUCAUAAUUUUCUUGUAGUGUAAGAUUAUUUUGAUGAUUUUGUUUGUGGAGCAUAUUUGGGAAAAAUUGUAACUUUUGUUAUUAUUAUGUAUAUGAUGAUAAGAAUAAUUAGAAAAUAAUGCAAUAAAACUGGUUAUUGUGGUAGGGAUACAUCUAUAUACCAUGGGAAGACUGCAGUUACAUACAAAUCAAGUGAGAGAAAGAAGGUAGAGAAAGAGGGAUACAAGAUCAUUGGGAACAUUGGAGACCAAUGGAGUGAUAUUUUGGGAACCAACACAGGCCAAAGGACCUUUAAGCUUCCUGAUCCCAUGUACUACAUUAGUUGAGUUCAUAAUGUAACCAUAACUUCCUCUUAUCAGUAGAAUAAGAUACAUAGAUGUAAUAAUAACUUCUGUGUAUAUCACUUUUUGUGACACAUUUCUUUUCUAUAAACUAAACACCAAUUGGUAUGUAAGUUCACGAGAAAAUUAUUAAAUAAAACUUAAUUUUAUAAAUAAAAAAUAAUUAGUCAUUAUAUUAACUAAAUUAUAUAUUAUUUUAUAGAUUAAAAAAAUUAUUGACAUCUAAAUUAUUAGUUCUUUAAAAAAUAAUUUAUAAAUUUAUUAAUAAUAGAAAGUACUUUAAAUAUUAAUAAUUUUUGUAGUCUUUAAAAUAAUCUUAAAUUAAAUAUUUUGGAUAUUUUAAGUGGAAAGACGAAUCCAAUCUCCUGGUUCUGGAAAGGAAAAAGAAUUUCACGUUCUUCCUUUCGAGAAGGAUAAUGAUUUACAAUAAUUAUAUUAAUAAAUUAGUGAAAAGUUAAAAAAUAUUUUUUAUUUAUAGAUGGAUGAUAGUAUUUUAAUUUGUUUAUAUAAUAUUGAAAAAAAUAAAAAAAAAAGUAUUCAUAAUUUACAUAUACAUUAUAUUAUAGUUUUUGGCAGUACGUAUGCUAAUAAAAUUAUCCCUGCAACCAAGGGAAAAACUAUAGUCACAUACUUGAAUUUCAUCCAAAAUCUAAAUUAAAUUUUUUUCUUGCUAGAACCCAAAUAUUUUUAUUACAGGUAAUAUUGUUUUUAUAUGACUAAAAUAUAUAUUUUUCUUAUAGUGCAUAUAUGAGCUAUUUUCUCUCAUAAAUACAAGUUGAAUGAUAAGAAUGUAUUUCAAAAAAUAUUGGGAUAUUCUCUCAACACUUUUCACUUUCAUAUCAAUUAUGGAAAGUGAAUUUUAACUUUUUAAAAGUGUUUAAAUACCUAAAUUUCAAAUUUUUAAAUAACUCUAACUACACUCGUACAUACCUUUUUUUUAAUCGCAUAUCUCUCUUCAAGCCAAACCAUUAUUUGUGUGAUAGGGUUGACGAAAAGAUUCGUUGUAUUCGACGUUUCUAAGUGUAAUUUUUUUUAAAAUUUUGUACUCUAUUUUUGCAUCUAUUUUGUUUUUCUCUAGAUUUUGUGACUUUUGGAUUGUAUAAAACAUAUCUCAACCACCAACAUUUACCACAGCCACCAACACAAGCAAUCACCACCACCACUUGAAAAUGAAGAAGAAAUCUCACAAUCUCCACCGUAUUAAAAAUCCUAAACCCUAAACACCACAUGAUGAGUACGACUAAGAUUAAAAUUUAUUUGUAGUUUUUUGUUUUUAUUUUUGCACUAAGCUUUUGACAAUUAUUGUGUACCUGGGACACAUUAAGAAUGUUAUGACUUGAUGAUACAUGUAGCACGAACAUAAUCCAAAAUACAAAUUUUAUAUUUUUAACUACAAAAUUCAUAAUAUAAAUUUUCUAUUUCAGAUUAUGCAUUUCUAUUCCUAAUCAUGAAGUUAAAGGUAUGGCUGGAGGAAAAAAGGUUCUACUGGAAGGUCUUAUAAGUUCAAGGAAGAUGAUGAGAUAAAGAAGAGUUGCGGCUGAAAAAGAUGAAAAUGGUAAUUUCACCACCUCCAUUAAGGUGCAGGAUGAAACCAUGAAGGUGGAGAAAGAAAAGCCCAUAAACAAUUGAUCCCAUUAUUUUGGGCCAACUUAAAGAUAUUGUGUUGGGCCGAGAGUGAAAAUGGACCCUUAAAAAGAUGACUUUGGAACCAUUGGUUUGGACCAAUAUGUGAGUUUAGAAAUUCUAAUACCAACUUUACAAUAUUAAAACAUAAAAUAUACUUCAUGCUUAACUAUCUUUCAUUCUUAAUUUUAUGUAUUUAUUCAUAAAUUACAAAAUUAUAUAUAUAUAUAUAUAUAUUAUAGAUAGAGAGAGAGAAAAAAAAGUGUUUUUUUUUCUUUUUUUAAGAUUUAAACUACUUUUUAAUUAUUACUCAUUUUGGGAAACAAUUAUUAAGAGUGUCUAAGAUCUUAAAUGCAUACAAUAUAAAUAUUUUUAUUCAAACAUGAUUUAUCUCAUACCUAGUAAACAUUUAUAUAUCUUCUAAUUUUAUAUACACUUUUAUUAUUAUUAUUUUUUCUAUUUCUUAAUAUAUAGGAUUAGAGAUAUUAAUUCAAAUUAACUAACUUCAUGGUAUUUACCUUUGACAUUCAUAUGGUAUAAUUGUUUGGUUAGGUGGAUUUGAAACUUGCUAAUAUAAAUCCAUGAUAAAUUACUUUUAGGUUUAAUUAUGUUUUGUACAUCAAAUUUAGGAUGGAUAUGAAUUUGAUCUCUAAAUAAAUAAAUAAAAACAUAUAUAUUUUAGUCUCUUAAUUUUUUUUAGUAUUUUUUAAAAAUAUUAUUAAUUGCUAAGCAGACAUUUUGAGAUUAAAAUCAAAAUAAUAUAAAAAUUUAGAUAUUAAACUUAUUUAUAAUGUGAAAUCAAUUAAUAAUUCAUUAUAUAUUUUAAAUCUCUUCUGUUUGGUAUCUUCCAAACAUGGUCUAAUAACUUCACAAUAUGGGCAUGAAAUAUUUUUUAUUUCACACAUUAUUAAGAUCCUGUUUGUUCCCAAAAGACAACCACCUUAUUCAAUUGUUUUCGAAACUUACAAACACAAAAGGCUAACACAGUACCAAGUGGUACAAUUACACGGUUUCAAACAUUUAGGUACAUUUCUGAUCCACCCACAUAACUCACUCAACAUAGGUACUUAACAUAGCUAUAACUAAUUUCUAAUUUUGUACCAUUUCACUUAACAACCAUUUUUUCCUUCAAAUGUAAUAACAUUAUUAACUGUCACUAAUUUGUGACUAAAGACCAGUUCAAGAAGCUCCAUAGUAUAUAAAUAUAGAUAUUAAUUAAUGAGAACUUAAGGGGUGUGCUUUCUCCAUUCAAAAAAAAAAAAAAAUUCUUACACAUUUUUCAGUUAUUUUGUUACGAUGUAUCCGUUACAAUUUUAUUCUUAAAAAAGGUCUUUGUGAGUUGAGAGAUGAAAAUUUAUAUAAAGUGUUCUUAAUAUCAAUUUUUGAAUGAUAUGAGAUUCAUUAUUAAAAAAUCAUUGAAUAAAAUGAAUAAAACCCAAUUUUAGAGGAAAAAAAUUAUUAAUUUCUAAAUUAGUUUUUAUUAAUGAUAAAUAGUUUUUAAAUUGGUAUUUAAUUAGCUACCAAGGUUUUAACUACUAAUUAUUUAGAUUCUAAAUUUGGUUGCAAAAACCUGAAUAUCUAAUUAUAUACCAAUUUAAAAACUAUUUAUCAAUAAUAAAAACUAAUUUUGAAUUUAAUAAUUUUUUUAGUUUAUAAAAUAGUAUUUAAUUUGAUCAUUAUAAAAAUUAAUUAUUAUUUUUUUUUAAAAUUGAUUUUUAUUGAAUGAUUUUUUUUUAGUGAUUGUUGAGUGUAACAUAGUAUUAUUAUAUUACUAUAAAUUUGAAGAUAAUUUUCACAGAAAAUAAAAGAUUUAUCAUACAUAGUAAUUUAUAAUUGAAUAACAGCAUAGCCUAAUUUUUCUCAUAAAAAGCAUUUCAAUUCAUUUUUUUUAUUUCUUUCAUUUUUUUUAAUGUUAGUAAAUAUAUUCAGAACUUCUUGAAAAUCUGUGUCCAGCAUGGAGAAAAUUUGUAGUACUGUCUGUAUUCCGUGAAUGAACAAAACUAAGUGUAAGUUUUAUUAGAAAGAGAGAAUUUUUUUUAUAGGUUUGUGUUAUCUUUGUACCUGAAAAGUACUUUUGCCAAAACAUUCCUUUUUACUUUUUCCAUUGAAGUGCGUAGAACUUCAUAUUAACAACAUUUCAACACAAAUAUAAAGUAAAUAAAGUGAAUUAUUUUAUACAUCAUAUUUCUCACUAUUGUUUGUGCCACAAUGAUUAUAAUAAAAAACGACGAAGAAAGUCUAAUUAUUUCAAAAAAUAUUUCAUAUUUUCAAUUUUUUAAAAAUGUUAAAGAAGUGUUCAGUGACAUAUUAUUAGUGAAAAAAAAUAUUAUUUUUAGAAAUUUAAUAUGAUAAUUGACAAAAUAAAUAUUUUUUUUGUAAAAUAAAAUCAAUUUAUAUUUAAAAAAAAUGCAUUAUUUUCAAGAACUGAUAUCUUAAUAUUCAAAAGAAGUAAUUUAAAGUUGUAAAUGUGCUUUAUAAGGUAUUUUAAACUUAUAUUAAAGAUUAAUUGAUAAACUUUAAAUAUAAGUUUUAUUAAGUCAGGGUGUGUUUAAUAAAAAUCCAUUACUCAAUAAAACUAACACUUGCUCAUAUUCCCCACUACUUUAGGUUAAGCAACUUGGUUUAUUUCAAAUAAAAUAUUAUAUUUAAACUUUGUAAAUAAAAAUAUUGUUAAAAAGACUACUAAAAAUAAUCAAAUAUUUUUUUUUACACAAAUUAGUAAUCAACAUGCAAAGCAUGAUUAAAAUAAUUAGUAAAACUUAAAAAAAAGAGUUAAGAAUAACAUUUGAUUUUUUUUUUAUAUAAUUUUCCUGAAGUGACGUAAGCAGCAUCAUUAAGAUCAUGAACCAAACAAAUUCAACCUCCAUUUUCUUGAAACAAGUGAUUCUGCAGAACACUGUAUAAAAUAAGGUUUUCCAAUGUUGGAAUCAAAAAAUCACAACCUGCUAUAAUGUUUUUUUAAGAAUGCAAUUAAUAUAUAUUAAUCUUUUGGCCAUUUCUCAACGUCUCUUUCUAUCCGUUCAAACAAUAGGGGCAAUAAAAUUAAAUACAGAAUUCAAGAAGAUAUUCAAAAGAUUCUUAAUAAUUAUUAUGAGUAAUGUUAAUUAAAAAAAUGAUUAAGAUGAAAUUGUUUUUUCCAUUUAUAAUUAAAAAAUUAUUAGAGUAUGAUCUUUAUUAAUUUUUAUUUACAUAAUAAACAAAUUCAUAUACUUAAAAACUCUUAAUUUUUAUUAAUUAUUGAUGCUCACAGAAUUUAAAACACUUAAGAUUAAGUAUUGAUUUGAAACAAUAUUAAUAUUAAUAUUAAUAUUUUUAUAAUUUUUCAAAUCAUUGUUUGAUAUGAUCACUCUGCACGAAAAUAUUGACGAUGAUGUAUGGAUGAGGGCAUAAUCAUUCUCUACCAGUGUAAAUUACCUAUAUUACCCCUACAGUAAAAAAUUUCACGCGCAACGAAGCACGUGGAACACCACAAGAUGAAUACUAUAGAAAAGCCCGUUUCAAAUCAAACCCUAAUCAUUGCUGAAAUGAAAUUUAAGAUUCAAACACUGCCUUUCGAUUAGACUUCUUCAUUCAACUUCACGCGCUUCUUCGGGAAGUGUGUCCACAUCCUUAAAUUUUUUUUCUCGUUUUCUCACAUAUCUUUAAAUUUUAAUUGCACAAAACCAUGAAAGAAAAACUGUAAUUUUACUUUCUGUAUUAAUUUUUAUAAUUUUUUAUAUAAUUUUUGUGCAGUUUUGUUCUUAUUUAUAACAUUUCUAUUAUUAUUAUUUUUUAUAAAAAUUUAUGCUAUAUUUUUAUUUUGGUAGCGGUUUUUAAACAUGUAAAAAACGAGCAUACACAGUGAUGUCUAUAUUUUGAAUAAUUAAAAGUUUAAAAAAAAUUAGUCUAACACAUUUUGUAAUUUUUAUUUAAAAAUAUAAUUUCUUAAGAAUAUAAUUAAAUUGAGAAGAAAAAAUGUUCUGUUCUAAUUCAACACAAACAAUAAUAUAUAUAAAAAAAAUAAAAGAUAAUACUGUGUGAACAUAAUUGUACAUGUGUUUUUUAUAACAAAAACUAAAUAAUAUAAUAACAAAUAUCUAAUCAGAUAAAUUCCCUUUAUCAUUUUUUUUUAAUUUUGUUUCCUUCUAUAAACACCUAUAGCAGUGUCAUUGUCAUCACCAUUUGAUGUUAUGCCAUUUUAGAUGUUAUUCACACUUGAUCCAUGGCAAUUUCAGUAGAACGUUGGACUUUGUAAAUAAAAUUAAGGUCAAACAUUGGCUUCCAAAUUUGUUUAUGACUCAUAAUUUUUUCUGAACACUCACCUAAUGUUCUUCCAAUGUUCAUUACCUAACACAUGAAAUACUAUCAAUAGCAAACUCAUUUUUCAGUGACACAGACUUUUCAACCAUUAACAGUGAUUGAAACUAGUCCUAGUCAGCAAUGUAAUGCCCCACAUACACAAGACCCCACCUUUUUUUGUUUGGACUUUGAAAGCCACCAUUAAGUUUUCCUCAACAAACUUUCCUUUUAUGGGUCACUAACACAAACUAGUUUUAAGUUUUCUAUUCAUUGCUCUUUUACAGUAUCAAUACAGCAAUAAGCACUGUGAAAGUGAAACUGUUGGAACUAUAAUCCAAACCAGCAAUUAGUUAGUAUGCACAAAAGAAAAACUAUGUUAUUAAAAAUAACCAAGCCAAAUUAUUCUCCAACACAUUUCUCUUAAAUGACGUGUUCGUGUAGGUUAGAAUUUGUAUAUUUCUCUUAAAUGACAUGUCCGUGACAUAUACGUGUAUGUCAGUAUUCGUAUUUGUGCUACAUAGCAUUUGGUACAAGAGCAUGAUUGAAAAAAGAAACUCUUUAAUUAAAAGAAUGUACACAAGCAGAAUUGAGAAUUUCAUCCCUGAAUUUAUAAGUUGUAAGCACAAGAGAAGAAAAAAAACAAAUUCUAGAUAUCAGUAACAUCAUUGAGUGUCCAAUUGCCUCUCAAAUUUUUCUUUGUGUUUGUGCAACUGUGACUGUCAAAAAUUCCAGGAUUCUUGAGUCUGGAAGAAAUUUGAUGAUGGCCUUUGCAUUCUAACACUACUUAUGCUGUUUCUUGCAGCCAUGACUUCAUUCAGUGAGAGUCUUUUCUUGGGUUCAGGUCUUUGUUUUGGAGCACUGUGAGACCUUAGUUUGGCCUUGAAUGACUGAGUAUUGGUCAUGUAGUUGGGGAAAUUGGAGCAAGGUCUGAAGAAGGUAUCUCCACAAACACUCUUAGCUGGUGUAGCUGGAGCAUUAGGUCGGGCAUAGUUUGUGAAACGUGGUGUGCUAUGAGCAGUGGAGAAUCUACACUCAUCAACAUUGAGGUACCAAUCAAAAUCUUGAAGGUGUCUGCAUUCAGGAACCGAGAUUCGACCAGGGACAUGACAAGGAAGAGGGGACGACAUUGCCUGAGAGGACAUGUCUUCUCCACACUCAGACAUUGUAGAGGUAAAGCGCCUAGACCUUGAUCGAGUCUUGUAUGUAUCAAUUUCAACAAUCUUGGGACUCUCAUCAAAACCAUUCAAGGAUGUUUCAUAGGAUGUAGGCAACCUUUUACUGUGGAAUUCACUCCUUGUUUCAUCAAAUCGUUCCUAAAAGUACAAAAGCACAAGCAAAUAAGACAUUGUUUGUUGAUAGAUAAAUGAUUGAAGUAAUUGGCAUUCAUUCAGGACCAGAAAACCAGUUUUUACCACAGAUUUUCUUGCAAGAACUUCAGGUAGAAAUCUGCUUUCUUUGCUCAAGGAACGACGAGCUCGUUGUGAUCUGACAGCAGUUUGAGCUCUUAUUAGAGCUUGCAUACUGUGAAGAGUUGCAGCAGCCCUCUUUCUAACCAAGUACCCUCUAACAAGAGCUUGUAUCUUAACCAAUCCUUUCAGUGCUCUAAGAGCCUUCCGUGCCUGAAAGUGAACAAAACAUAUUUAUAUAUGAUUGACAAGGUAGGUAACAAAAUUAUUAGCCAUGCUCAAAUUUGUCAAACAUUCAAAUUUAUCAGAUAUUGAAUAUGGUUUAAAAGCCAUUCAACAGAAGAAAAAUAAGGGAAUUUUUAAUAACAAGAUAGGUCAACUAGAAUGAGGAGAAGAGGCACUGUUUCAUUAAGAAUCUAAAAUAAUAUUUGAGAGGAGACAGAGGAGUAGGAAUCAAGCAAAGCACUUCACUUACACCAACCAAAUAUAUUUGUUCAAGAGACAACCACCACAAUCACAAAUCAAUGCAAUUUAUCAAACAGCAUUUUCAAAAACAAAGGAAGCAGACAUACUUACAUACAUACAUUCAUACCUCAUGACCAACACCAAUUGGAUUUGAACCAUAAAAAAAGAGAAGACACAUACCAAGUAGCCUCUAAAAAAAGUUUGGAUCUUCACAGCAGCCCACUUCUCCCUGCUUCCACUGAACAAUGCACCUCUCCCCUGGCUUGUCAGCCUCACAACCGCCACGGCAGCCUGUGCGGCAACCAUGGCAGCAUCGGCGGCAGCCGCAGUGGCGGCGGCAACAGCAAUUGCAUGCUUAUUCUGCUCAGUCUCUGUAUCAUCAAAGUAGGAUCUGAGCCAGGUGUUAUCUGUGGCAGGAACUGAAGAUGGCACAUCCUUCCCUGGCUUAGCAAAACUCCACCUUUUCUUCUCCUUCUUGUCAGGAGCCAGUGAGCCUGAAUUGUCGCUGUGGUCCUUCUCCUUCUUCAUCCCCAACAAACCCUUCAACCACCUGCUAGCUUUUCCCAUAAUAAGUUCACAACUUUUUCUUUUUCUGAGUCACGAUCUGGAAUGAGAAACGGUGCAAAGGGUAAGUGAAACUUUUUGCCUCCUGUGGCUAAAGAUAAGAGGGGUAGCAACCAAGUUAAGUCAGAUGUUGAAGGGACUGUGAAAAAACAAAUGAAAAUGAAAAAUCUUGGUUUAAAAAAUGGAGGGACAAAGAAAGUGAGUGCAAAGGAAAGAGUGUAAAGUGUAAAGAAUCCAACAGAAGAGGAUGUGAUGAGAGCACGUUGUAUAUGUGUAUGGAUGAAAAGAUUAAAAACCAGAGUUAAAAAAAAAAAAGCAUCAAACAAACAAACCUUAAAAUCAAAGUGAGUGAGUGGAGAAAACGGAUAAAGAUGGAACUUGUUUUGAAAAUAAACCUCUGACAGGACCUCGUGAAGAACUGCAUUAGAGGACAAAAAGCGGUCACAGAAAGUUAGCAGAGGCUGAAAUGAAAAACAUUAUAAUAGUUUCAGAAAAAAAAAACUUUAAAAUCUCACCUUGAGUAAAGAGACAAGAAUUACAGACAAAGCACAAUGGUGAAAUCCUAUGAAAAAAGUGACAAUAAUCAUAGGGAAAAGCCUCCAAUACCCAAGACAACAACACCUUCUUAUCUGAUCUUGAAUUCAAAAAAGAGAAAGACCGCCGAAUUCCCUUCAACCCCACAAAAACAAACUGCAACAAUAUUAUUAUUAUUAUUGUUUCUUCUUUGUUGUUGUUCUCUCUCUCAAACUUUCUGGAGCAACGUGUAGUACAUAUGAAAGAUACCCACUGACAACAAUCCCGUGAGCUUGGUUGAAAGGGGGCAUUGAGUCCCUCUCCCACCCUUUCACUAUCUUGCUUUAUUUGAGAGAAAAAACUGGACUGUGAGUUAAGUUCUGCAACCGAAUAACACCACUUUUAAAGCCUAAAAUAAAAACUUGCCACCAUUGAUAGUACACUGUGCUUUGUACCAUUCAUUAAAGGCUAUUACCAACUAAAGGGUUCCUUUAUAUCAUCUUUUUUGUCCAGAUAAUACCCACUUUCUCCUUUCUUCUUCACCAUCAUCAUUCCAUUGCUUACCUUCUCUGCCACACCUUCUCCAAAACCAGACCCUCCCAAAAAUUCUGCCUUUUUCAAUCCACACACCAAAUCAAUGCUCUCUCUCUCUCUCUCUUUGGGAUGCACCCCAACAACAAACACUAUCUUGAUCUGAUUUGGAUAGUUAAUAAUAAUUAUCUGGGUAAGAUUCAAAUUUUGAAUUUAACUAUUUUUUAAUCAGCCCUUUUUUUAAUCAGCAAUGCCCUGUGGGAUUGUGGUGGUUUAAGAGGGAAUAUGCUAAAAAAACAAUGAAACUCUAGCAUUAUUAUGAACCAUUUGGUGGGUUUUGUUAAGGUGACAGAACAGUGUGAGAUAAGAAACAUUUUCUCCGUAGAUCUUGGCAGACAGAUGGAAUCCUGAUCAAUUGAAUUCAAUGUGCCAUUCUGUUUUUAUCAGAAUGCAAGACCAAAUUGAAAUGCAUCUAAUUAUCAUUACUUGUGACUCCAUUUGGUAAUAGUUUUUGCAAAAUGUUGAAUUUUUUUCACUCUCCCUAAGCAAAUUGUAAUGGGUCAAUUCAUGCUCAAAGACACCCAUUCAAACAAAUCAUUUCUUUUCAUAUGAUUAUAACUUCCUGAGGAAAACUAAACACUGUGAGUUUGUUUAAGUUUGUUACACGCUAAGCUAACUUUAAACCUUCAAACUCAUCAUAAACUGUGCUUAUUUUUAAGAUUUUGUGCCCCAUAAAUAAGUAGACACGCGCACCAUUAUACUACUAGACAACCUUCAUAUACUAGACAACCUUCCUUGUCAUGAUGCAAGUUUUUUACUAACAUUUGUUGAUGUUCUCAAUCUCGUUAUUCCUUUCUAAGUUCUCGAUCUUCUUGUAAUCCAGACUCUGAGAUAACUGCAAAAGGCAUACAUAAUUUUUGGAAUAUAUGUUAUUUAUAUUAUUUAAAUGGCAUACCUUAUUGGACCGGACUAGAUUAUGGAAGUGAGUCAUGUUUAGGGACACAUUACAUAGCUCUUAAUCAUGGAUUAGCUUUGCUGACUGACCUUGAUUGAACGUAAUUGGACUUGUGUUGUCGGUCGGCCUUAUGAUGAGACCGAGAUAUGACAUCAGUCGUACGACCCUCACCAAUACAGUUAGAGAUCUCAUAUGUUGUAGAUCUGACAUCGACAUGUUGUUAAUCUAAACUUAUAAGUUAAUUUUGUAAGUCUGAGUAAGGUUUAAAGUUCACUUUUUAACAUCGAUUUUAGUUUAGAUUUUCUAGUAUCCCACCUUUUUCUUAGUAUAUACAUACCGAUUUAUAAUAUUGAGUUAGACUUAAAGUUUACUUCUUAAUGAUAAUUCUACGUGGAAUUUUUGUAUAUAUAUAUAUAUGACCCUUUUUGACUUAGACUUGUGAAUACAUGAUAACUAGAUAGAAAAGAAACUGGAAAAGGAAAAAGGUUUGAAAUAUAGUUUGACUGUGUAAUGCAUGGAGUGUAGUGUGUAGUGUGAAGUGUACAAAAUGGUUGAGAAUCAUUGCAGUGAGCAGUGGAGUGUGGUGUGUGUAGGCAUAACUUACUGGGAUUCAGUGAAAGGGUAGGGACCAAGGGAGAGAGGGUAGGUAGUGUUGGACCACCAUUCAUUUCUUUUAUAGCAUUUGCCUUAGGAAACAAUUUGCUUCUCACAACCUCAACUGCUUCUUUCACUAUGCUCUUUCAUCAUCUCAUCAAGCCCAAAUACACCUAUCCCAACCCCAAUUUCUUUCACUCUAGUCAACUCUGCCAAUUACUUUCCCCAAUCAAAUCUAAAUCUAAAAUUCCACCCAUUUUUAUGUGAAAAAAAUCUCUUAAAUAAAAAGAGUUGUGAAUAAAAAAAUAUUUCCCAAACCCCUCUUUAAGAACACUUUUUCAGAUUUAGAUUUCCAUAACAUUUUUCUGAAUUCUAUUUUUUUUUUCCAAAAUAUGUUUCCUGAUUUUCUCUUUCAUAUUUUUUUUCCCACUACAAGACAAGAAAGAAAUCGUAAAAAUAAUUAGUCAUCGCUAAAUUAUAAACUAUUUUAGAGAUUAAAAAAAAUAUUGAUUUUUAAAUUGAUAUCUAAUUAAUUAUCAAGAUUUUAACUACCAAAUAUUUAUAUUCUAAAUUUGGUAACAAAAUCUUGGUAGCUAAUUAGAUAUUAAUUUAGAAACUAUUUACCAAUAAUAUAAACAAAUUUAGAAACCAAUAAUUAUUUUAAUCAUUAAAAUUGUCUCUAAUUUAGUCUAUUUUUUUCUCUAAAAUUGAUUUCUAUUUAAUAAUUUUGUUUAGUUUUCAGAAUCCAUAUUUUUAUCUAAAAUAAGAUUUUUAUUUUCGAAUUGUAUUCUAAAAUUUCAUUUCUAAAACACAAUCAUCUAUUUUGAAUUUGUUUUUUUUAAAUAUAUUUUUUGAAUUCUGGAUUUUUAAUUCCAAAAUAAAUAAAAAAAUUAUGGAAAUUUUAAAAAAGGAUAGAUGCAGGUCAUAAUUAGUAAGAUGUAGAAAGAAUUUGCCAUCAACUUUUUUCCUUUCAGAAUAACUACAUUUCACUAAAUCAAGACUAUUACCAAAAAUUCAAAGAAAAUUGUAAAUCAUACCAAUUUUGUAAAGGUAAAAUUAAACUCUACACACAACUACUAAGUUCUCUAUACAUUUAAGACAUUUAUUGAAUUUUAUGAAUACACUCAAAUUAACUAUUUUUCACUUUUUUUCUUAUUUAUUUUCAUAUUAAUCAAUGUAAAACUUUAACAAAUAUUCACUUGAAAACAACAACAAAAAGAAAAAAUCAGCUGUUUUUAAAAAACAAUUACUUAUGUUGGAGACUUCAAAUUAAAACUUUCAAAGAGACAUUUUGAUUAUCUCUUAUACUUCAAUUAGUUAUCCAUUUACAAUGUCAUGUAACUUUUGUAAUUAUCAUGUCAUGUAAUUCAAUUAAAUAAGACAAUGUUUCUUACUUUUUCAUUUGGAAAUGUUUCUUAAAACUACUAUUGGUAUGAACUAACCAAGAAGGAACAAGUAUGAGAAAUAAAAAAGUAGGUGAUUAAUUAUGAUGAACCCUAACAUAAAAGGUGAUGAACUAAUUGUGAAACCAUUAAUGGAAGAUGGGAAGAAGAGGAGAAUGGUUGAGAGAGACAGAGAUGAUCCAGCUAAUAUACGCAAUAAGAAGAGAUUAUAUGAUUCACUAGAUUUAAUAUGUUAGAUGCAACAACUAUCAUAGAAUUAGAGUUAUAUAUAGCCUUUUUAGUAUAGGGUUGCAUUAGGGUGGCUACUUUCAUCAUCUACUUGCAAUUUUGCUUUUAAGAAUUCUGGGUUUUGGUCCCAAAAACAUUUUCUCACUGUUUUUUUUUUUUCUUUAAAAAAACUUAAAUUGUUUUUUUAUAUGUUGUAAAAUAAGUAAAUUAAAGUUUUUUUUCGUCCCUUAUAAUUAUUUUUGUAUACCUUUUAAAAUUUAAUUAUCUGUGUUUUAGGUAUAAUAUUCAUUUUUAGGAUGGACUAAUAACAUCCGGCAAAUUCUUCCUGCACUUUCAUGGCUUCUUCUUACAAUUUUAUAUUUUUUUUUUAUUUUCAGUAAUAUUCUUCUGAGUAUGUAAAGAGUGUGAUGUCUUUUUCUUUAUUUUUAAGUGGUGAUUGUUGUUGUUGGUGGUGAUUGGGGAUGAACGUUGGUAGUUGAACUAAGUUUUGUGGUAUUUUUAUGUGAUGUUUUGUUCGUUUUUUUUAUUUUUUUUAAGUCACACAAGGUGCAAAAAUAAGAUUAAAACUUUUAAAAAAAAUCUCACUGGUUAACGUCGAAUACAAUGAAAUCUUUUUUUGUCAAUAUUUUACCCAAAGUCAACUUAUGAAACUACUCAAACAUUACGACUAUGAAGGAGGUAUGAAGUGCAUGAUGUUACUUAAAAAUGUUAAACCAUGUUUCAUUUACAAUUAUUUUAAAAAAAUAAAAACUAAACCUAAAUUUUUACAUUUAUUAUGUUAUUAUGGAGGUGAGGGAAAAUGCAUGGUGGUGGUGGAGAAUUUGCCUAACAUUUUUAUGACUUCCACGAAAUUCUGUAGUCAUCAUGACAUGAUCGUGAUUAUUUUGUUAGACAGAAAUAAUUAAUCAAGUUCGUAUAAUAAUAGGAAUAAAAUAUAUUGGUCUUAAUUUUGUACAGGAUAAAAAAAAAUUAUAGAAUAAAUACUUAUUCUUUUUGGCUCCAACUAUACUUUUUUGUAAGUUUACGAAGGUAUAAUACCUACAAAGAUACUUCAAUAUUUAAGUUAGAUGAGAUAUUUUAAUUACUUAACUCAUAGUUUAACAAUUAUUAUCUUUUAUAAUGAGGAUCUUCAUUUAUUUAUAGUUUUCUAUUGGAUCUUCCUUAUUAAUGAUGUUGAUCCAGAUCCAAUAAGUUUUUAAUGAUGUUUUGCAACCUUUAAUUAAGAUUAACCCAUUUAAUUAGCAGAGUUUCGCACUUUGUGUUUUUUAUCGAGAGUUAUUGGCUACUUGAUCUCCUGGUUCUGGAUAAGACAAUUAUUAAUAUUUUUUUUUAUAUUAUCUGUCUAAAUCAAAUAUUGUUAAAAUUUUAUGUAAUAUAUUUAAUUUUUCAAUAAAUAUUGAUUAUUUUAUAUUAGUUCAUGAUGUCAGUUUUUUUUAAUUGACACAAAUUGAUUACUCUUGAGACCAAUAAAACUGAAUUUUGAGCCAAGACAUGUUUAAUUGUAAUAGUUGUACGCUAAGAAAGUUGAUUGAGUGUUUCCAUGUUUCUAGAAAGAAAAAUAGGAAUAAUAUAAAUGAUAUACUAUUUUUUUUUUCAUCAAUUGAAACAAUAAGUUAAACAAAUACAUCACAUUAAUUCUUAAGACUAAAAUUAAAGAUGCCUGAAUUAAUAUUAAUUAUAUUUGUUUAUAUUUUGGUUCAAAAAAAUUAAAUGGUAUAAAAUUAAAGCAUGCAAAUUUAGUGUUUACAAUAAGAGAUAUAUUUUAUAAGGUUUCAUUAUUAUCUUUAAAUCUUAACUAAUAUUAUUUAAUUUUUAAAAUUUAAACUAAAACAUCUUCUGAAUAUUAAGUAAUAUUAUUUAUUUUUUAAAAUUUGUAUCUUCUUAUUUUAAAUACCAUAAAUAAAUAUACUUUUAUUUUUAAAAAAAUCAGACUAAUUAACAGUACAGUUUUCAUCAUAUAAAUAAUAUAACAUCAAAUUAGAAAAAAGUAUACAUGUACUUUCAUGUGAGUAUUAUUAGGAUAUGUUUUUAUCAAGUCUUAAAUGUCUUGUAUUUCCCUCUAUAUAGUAUUCGUAUGAGGUAUUUUUGGACGAAAAUAGAUACUUAAAAGAGAGUAUAUAUAUAUUAUUUACUCAAAUUAGUUGUAUAUUUCUGUGAUAAUAGGAGUAUUAAAUAUCAAGACGAAUAUUAUAUUUAUCUCAAAAUUUAUUUUUUAUAUACCUAUAUAAUAUGUCUACUAUAAAAUACAAAAAUAAGGUAUUUGUGACCAGAUUUUGUUCUAAAAAAGGUAGUGGAAAUUUUCAGUAUAAUUUUAUUUAACAUACAAGCGAAUUAUAACUUUUAAAUCUCAAAAUCAAAUUCGGAUCUAUUUCUAAAUAUAAGAUUAAAUAUGUGAACAUUUAAGUUUUGUUUAAUUAAAAAAAUAUAGAAAAUAAAUUAAAUUUCAGAUUAACUCGUACAUCUAAUUUUUAUAUAUUAUUUUAUGUAAUUUUGCAAAAUUUUAAGAAAUUUAAUUUGCUACCAUUUAUAAUUUUUUAUUUAUUUAUGUUAAUAUUUAUGAAUUAACGUGACAGAUAUUAUUGGGUCAGACCAUGGGCUCUUAACGGCCCAUCUCUUCAUUGCUACGUCUUCUUUUUACUAAAUUACUUUACCUAAUUCUUAUUGCACCUCCAUGUUUUCUUCCUGGUCCGAAAAUAUCAAAAUUAUCAUUUUUAGUUUUUAUUUCCGACUUAUAAAAUCCUAAAGUUAAUAUUUGUAAUUUCUUGCAUUCUGGAUUAUAUAGUCCGAAAUACAAUUUUUAUAUUCCGAAAUGUGUAAUCUAUAAUACAACACAACUCAAAAAUUUACAAUAUGAAAUAUGUUAUUUUUUCCAAAUUACAUAAUUCAAAAAAUAUUUUUAAAAAUGCAUUUUAACUUUUGUAAUUUGGAAUGUAUUUGAAAAACAAAAGGGGUGUGGAAGUGUUAUUCAACACAAACAUGAAGCAAAAGAAGAGGAUAGGGGGUGCGGUGCAACCCUAUAGAGGGGGGGUGCGCCAUAGAAGAUGAAGAAAAUGAAGAGGGAAUGUUGUAGGGUUUAUUUAUUUCUUCCUUUAAGAAUAAAAUGGUAUUUUCACCAUCUCCAUGGGGUGUAGGAUGAAACCAUGGGAGUGCAUGAAGAAUUUGUCAGUAUCAAAAAGUGCAUUAUUGGGUCAUUGGUUGGUAGUGAAGUUCAAAGUGUGGCAAGGCCUAAUAUCUCCUUUUCGGAAAUUUCUCCCCACACCAUAUCAUUAUUUGUUGGCACCAAACGCAAAAUUUAAAACUCAACAUUGAUUUUAUUUUUCCUUACGGAUGCAAAAAUUCAUAAGUGAUUUCAAUAUAUUUCAGAUUUCGAUAUCCAUAAGGUUAUUUUUGUACUUCAUUUAAAUGGUUGAAACAAGUAAUUCACAUUCAAUUAAAAUAAUUACAAUUUUUUCAGGGCAAGGAAAUUGGGUAUAUUCAAUUAAAUAUUUUAUACCUUAAAAAUAGUUAAUAUUUAAAAGAAUACAAAUUUUCAAUAGACUAUUUUUCAAUAAUAGUUUUAAACAAAUCUUAUAUGACAUUUCACAUUUUUAUUUAACAAUUUUUUUAAUGAAUCUUGUAUAAUAUUUAAGAUAUUUUUAUAUUAUUGUGAUCUCAAAAACAUAUUACACCCAUAAAAAUGCAUUAUAAAGCUAAUAUAUAGUUGCCACGUGAAGCAAAAAAUAUAUUCAUUACAGUUUACCUCAAAUAUAGUAGUGGAUUAAUUAUUUAAACAAUUAAGAUGAUAUAUCUCAAAGAAAAAAGACAAAAGUAGUUGACUCAACAAUGUAAAACUUAAUACUGUUUAAAAAUUAAUUCGUUUUAUCUUAAUAUUUUAGUUAAUACCGAUUAAGAACAAGUUAGAUAUCAAAAUAAUAAAAAAAUAUCAAGUUUAUUUAUUUUUAUUCAAACUUUAUUAUUUUUUCAUUUACUCUUCUAAUUUUGAAUGUUUAUGUAAAUUUCAUAACUUUGUUUCCAAAUCUUUUAAAUACAUAAAGUUUCUUCAAAAUCGUUUAAUUCUAGGAUGCAAAUUCAUUAAAACUAAAUAACUUUUAAGUUUUUUUUUUAUAGAAAUCAUAUCAUUAUUAAAAUUUACAAAAACCUUUUUUUUUUUGUCUAAAUAACAUUUUAAAAGCCUAAUCUAAUACACUCCUUUAAUUGAAAAAAUAAUCCCGAGUCGAAGCUCACUUAUAAUAAGUGCUACGUGCAUUUUAAAUGUAUAGUUAACAAUUUACAAAAAAGUAGGUGUUUUGAAUGUAUAACUAAAACUCUUAAAAAAUACGAUAAUAAAACGGGUCAGGUUUUGCAUACUAGGUUUGAUGAAACCAUCCGACGGACUAAGUUUGAUGAAUCAACUCGUUAUCAUUUAGGUAUAAUGUGUUUAUUUUUUGAACUUGUCAAUAUGUAUUGGUUCGAUCUAUUUAACUCGUGAGUCCGAUAAGUCACAAGUGGGACGAGAGUCAAUAAUUUGUUAUUUUUGACACUUUAAAAGAUGAAUCUCAUGUUUUUUUUUGAAUAAAAAUUGAAAGUGAUUAAUGUUUUAUAUAGAACUUUAUUUACAUUAAUUUUUUAUACAUCAUUUGAUUAAUUGAAGUAUGGUUGAUAUUUACUUUAUUUGGUUAGGUAUUAAAUCUUAUUUCAUUAGAAUAUUAAAUAUUUGUUUUUUAUUUUUAUUUUCAUUGUCCAAAAGGUAAUAUCAAUUAUUAUAACAAAAUAAAUAGAUGUAAAACAAAAAAUAAAAAUAAAAUUAAAAAAUAUGAGAUAAACCCUAAACCCUAAAUCCAUAAAACUUAUACAAAGCUUUUUAUGUGAAAUUCACACUAUUUAUAGAAAACAUUUAUUUUUAUUCAAAAUGUGAUGGAAUUAUGUUUUUGCCAUUUAUAUAUUGGAGGUUGUGUUAUUAAAAAAAUAUCAAAGUUGCUAUGUUUAUUAUUUAACCAAUAGACACACAAUAUUAUUAAUUUUCGUGGUACGUGUUAGUUAUUAUUAUUUUUCUACAAUUUAAAAACGUUGUAUUUUAAUUGCGAACUAUUUGAUAAAUUAGCAAUGCACAUUUUAAAAAUAAAUAAAUAUGCAGUUCCAAAAAGUUAUAGUUAUUAAUUAUUGCAUAAAACGUCUUUCAUGUUAUCAGUGUAGGUUUAUUCAAUUUCAGUUAUUAGAAUGUGAGGAUGUGUACUACAUAGAAGUUUUCAUCUUUGUAUUUAUUGAAAAUUUAAAACAAUAACUUGAGUUAUAUAUUAUUAAAUGUUUCAAUUAAAAUAUUAUAAAAAGUUUUAACAAAGACUUUAAAUAAUAUUUUUUAGAGGUAAGAAAUACAAAAUAUAAGUUAAAUGAAAUAAUAGGAAAAUAUAAUUACACCAAAAAAGGUAUUUAAAAAAAAAUACACAUACUAUACAUUGUUAUAAAUAUUUACCACAAACUAUUUAUUUAUAAGUAAGACAAAAAUUAUUUUGUUGUUUUUAAUCAUUAUUAUGUUUUGUUAUUACGUGAAACGUUUUAUAUUUGUUUAUUUAUGCAUUAUGUUACUUUUCAUGUCUAUCUAAUUAUAUUUAAUUAAUUAUUAUUAUUACUCUAGGUAUAAUUUGGUUAUUAUGUUGUUUUAAUUUUAUUUUUUAGCACUUUAUAACUCAUGUCUUACAGGGAUAUACUUUAUUUUACAAUACGUUUCUUAUUUUAAAUUAUUAGUUUUUCAAUUUCUAAAUUUAAUUAAUUUAAAAUACAAAAAAAAAACACUGAUUCUACAAGUUAUAAUAACGACAAUAAACAGAACCUAAUCUUCAUUAAAAACAUUUCACAACAAUAAAGAUGGUUGAUGCAAAAUGGUGAUGAUAUUACAAGAAAGGAUAAAAAAAAAAAUAAAAAAAAAUCAAGAUUAACCUUUAAAUUUGAUUUGUCCCAUUAAUUUCUUGACAUAAUUUACAUAAUCAUUAAUGGUAGUUAAAAAAAAUAAAUUCUUAAUUUUCUUUGCGUACGAAAGAUUAAAGAAAGUAAUCUUAAUAAAUGUAAUCUUGAAAAACCUAAAAUCCAGGAAAAAAAAUGUAACAUCCUUAUCAUUAAUCCAACUUUCAAAAACUGAAAAUAUUAAAUAUAUAUAUUUAUCUAUAAUCGAAUAAUCACUAAUCCAAGAUUAAGAAGAUAAUAAUCAAAUCUUCAAAACUGAAAAGAUUACAUAUAUUGAUAUUGAUAUAUAAUCUAAUAAUAUAAUAAUAUCUAAACAGAAAAAUAAAAUUUAAAAUUUAAAAUAUAAUUGAAUUAAACACGUUGACACUGUAGUUUUACGCGCAUGUGAUAUAUUAUUUUCAAAUUUAUAUUGGGUAUAGAUUUAAACUGAUUAAUUAAUAGAUACCGUAAAAAAUAAUCUGUUGAAAAGAAUAUUGAAUAAAAUAUUAUGAAGCAGUAAUAAAAUAAAAUAAAUAAGCAUGAAUGGAUAAAAAAAGAUAUUAGAUAUUAAAUGUGCGAUUCUAUAAAUAUCUGAGAAAAAUUGAGAAAAUUGCAAAGCCCACCAUUGCAUUCACCGCGCUUUCUCUUCGCCGCUCCCUUCCGAACCUCUCUUUUUUCGAACCCUCUCUCUGCAAUCCAAUCCCUUUCAAACCUUUCAGAUCUCCCUUUUGAAUUUUCUUCCUCUUUGAUUUUUGCGAUCUAGGGCUUUUAAGUUCUUUUCCAAUUUCUCCUUUUUUUCUGUUGUUGUUUUUUCAUCUUCUAGGGAUUGAUUUCCCGUUCUGGGGGAUUUUCAAUCGUGGGUUCGUCCAGUUUUCGAUACGUUGUUCUUUUUUUUUAUAAAUUGUUUUCUGGGUAUCCGUUUUGUCUCGGGAGAAGAAUAGGAAAAAUAUAAAAUUUUUUAUUUUUUUUUUAAUUUUGGGUGUUGAGAUCAUGGGGAGCUCUGAAGGGGUGGGGGCAUCGUCGAAGCAAUGCGGUAUCACGAAACCCAUUUCGAUGGCUGGACCUACGGUUAAUGAUUUGCAAAGGACUACUGAGUUAGAAAAGGUUAGUUUUUUUGUUGUGGGUAUAACACGAUCGUUUGCUUUUUAGUGUUUGGUGAUGUACUUAUUUGUGUUUAAAAUUGGUUUCUAUGUGUACAAGUUUCUCGCUGUUUCGGGACUUUAUGAGAACAAAGAGGAAGCUGCUAAGAGAGAAGAGGUUCUUCACCGACUUGAACAGGUAAGGGAGAGAUAGAGAUAGGGAGAGUGUUAUGUGUUGGUGAUUCUUCGCUGUAAUGAUUGUUGCGAUGCUUAGAUAGUGUAAUUGUUUGAUGGCAGCAAUUUAUGUGAGAUACUUGUACGUGUUAAUGAUGAUGAUAAAGUAGGAGUUUAGGGGUAAGGGAGGAGCUAUUUGUAUGAUUAGGGAGCUUAUUUCUCUCACGUGGAGUUUAGUCUAAUUGAGUGGUUGAUUCAUGCUUAUUAUUGUAUAUCAGAAGUCUACAGGGAGUUUAUUGAGUGAUUGAUGAGAGCGCAUUUUUUGAUGAUUUUUUUCUGCUGGUAUUAAUCAUCAUAGUUUGAAUUGCGGUUAAUAAUAAUUAUAAUAAUAUUUUAUUGUGCGUUAAUGUCAGUUUGUAUAGAAUUAUUUAAUACAGGUUGCAAAGCCUUCAGAGUUAACCAUAUAGCUUUUGAUUUGUUUUCUUUAUUUCAGAUAGUAAAAAACUGGGUGAAGCAACUUACUCGCCUAAGGGGAUACACUGAUCAAAUGGUGGAAGAUGCAAAUGCUAUCAUCUUGACUUUUGGUUCUUUUCGGCUUGGUGUGAGUAUCUUACCUCCUUGCGUGACAUGCAUACCUUCAUCACUUGGUUAUCGUCGUAGAAUCAGACAAAAAUGUUUUGGAUAUGUUUACUCUGCUUGGGAAUGUUAUAAUUUUACAGUUUGAUAGAUUCUAUUGGUUUUUGCAAUUGAACAAUGUUUUUACUUUGUCAAGAUUUGAAUGCAAUUUGCUGCACCUGUUUUUUAUUUGUGGAUUAGUUGAGCCCAUUUUCAUUGAGUUUAAUGAUGCAGGUUCAUGGUCCUGGGGCUGACUUAGACACAAUAUGCAUCGGACCUUCCUACGUGAAUCGGGAGGUAGGUUGGGAAUGCAAAUAUUUUUGUUUGUGUGGUCCAUCAAAAUCAUAUAUUUUUGUAUCUGAUUUUUAAUGUUUUCACAAUCAGGAGGAUUUUUUCUACACACUGCAUGAUAUCCUUGCCAACAUGGAGGAGGUCUCGGAAUUGCAACCAAUUCCGGAUGCUCAUGUCCCUGUCAUGAAAUUCAAGUUUGAUGGAAUAUCAAUUGACCUCCUUUAUGCCAGUAUUUCUCACUUGAUUGUACCUGAAGUAAGUCAAAUCAUUUUAUUUUGUACUAAGUUCUCCAACAGAAGCAAAUGUUAUUUUGUUCCAGAUCCAGUUCUGUUCAUUUGGCUUUUUGUCAUAUUUUGGAACUUUGUUUUUUUUAAUAAAUCGACAGGACUUGGUUAUAUCUGAUGUCUCUCUUCUACACAAUGUUGACGAGCCUACUGUGCGAAGUUUGAAUGGCUGCAGAGUUGCAGAUCAAAUUCUAAAGCUUGUUCCUAAUGUUGAGGUGAUUAUUUAGACUGUUGUUUGUCUUACUGUGCUACGUCUUCCAUUUAAUAUUAUUUAUUGUGCCCCCUUUACUUUUAAUAUAUUUACCUUUUGUAUGUCUUAUAGCACUUUCGCACCACACUUCGCUGCUUGAAAUUUUGGGCCAAAAGGCGAGGCAUUUAUUCCAAUGUGAGUGAUAUUUUCAAUUUUUUCCCUUGUGAAUACGUUUGUUUAUUUUGAAUGCCCACUUACAUGGUUAUUGGCUAAUUUAUUUAUGCUUUUUUAAUGAUUUUUCAGGUGACGGGUUUUCUUGGUGGUGUUAACUUGGCACUUCUUGUAGCUCGAGUAUGCCAGUUGUAUCCAAAUGCAGUUCCAAGCAUGCUUGUUUCUCGAUUCUUUAGGGUAUAUACACAGUGGAGGUGGCCAACUCCUGUCAUGCUAUGUCCAAUAGAGGAGAAUGAACUUGGUUUUUCUGUUUGGCAUCCUCGUAAAAAUCCUCGUGACCGAUCCCAUCUUAUGCCAAUUAUUACUCCCGCCUAUCCCUGUAUGAAUUCUAGUUAUAAUGUUUCUACAAGCACACUUCGUGUUAUGAUGGAGCAAUUCCAAUUUGGCAACAAGAUAUGUGGGGUAAUCACCAUUCUUUCCUUGUUGAGCUAGAUAGAAAUAAUUUGGAUGUCGAUUGUUACAAGUAAUUGAUAAUCGAUUCCUUUGUUUUUGUCAAAAAUCCAGGAUGUAGAACUGAACAAAGGUUGUUGGAAAGAUAUGUUUGAACCAUACGGUUUUUUUGAAAGUUAUACAAACUAUUUGCAAGUUGAUGUAGUUGCUGCUGAUGUCGAUGACUUGCGCAAUUGGAAGGGUUGGGUGGGAUCACGCCUUCGGCAGUUGACCUUGAUGGUAUGUUUAAAUUGAUACAUUAGAAUUAAUGGAGUUUACAACUCCUGGGUACAUUUGCUUAAUUUGUAAGCGUGUAAUUCAAUUUUUUUGGUUCCUGUUUGCAGAUUGAGCGUGACACUUUUGGGAAGUUGCAGUGCCAUCCCUAUCACCACGAGUAUAUCGAUACCUCGAGGCAGAGUGCACAUUGCGCUUUCUUUGUGGGUUUGCAGAGGAAGCAGGGAGAAGUAGUUCAAGAAGGCCAACAGUUUGAUAUACGAGGAACAAUUGAAGAAUUUUUGCAUGCGGUUAAUAUGUACAUGUUCUGGAAACCAGAGAUGGAGAUUUUUGUUUCUCAUGUUCGUAGAAGGCAAAUUCCAUGCUAUGUGUUUCCUGAUGGUUAUAAAAGAUUGCGACCAUCAAGGCCAACAUCAAAAGAGAAUCAUAAAUCAUCUUGUAAAAAUGAAGUUUCUGGGACUGAGGUGCGUAAGAGGAAGAACAAUGAUGGGUUGGGUGUGAGGGAGGAUGCUACACUAAAAAAGCAAUGUACUAGUCCUCCUGAAGGUAGAUGGGCAAGUCGCAGUGGCCUUGGUACUGGUGCUGUGUCUGAUAGUCAACAGUUGAGAAAUGUGGAGUGCAAUCAUUUGUCAAACAGUGGGCAAGAGUUGAGUAGAACGGAGUCUCCUGAACCCGCCUCUAAUUCUAGUGGGAUUGCUUCGGUUACAAGUGAUAGUGGUUCUUCUGAAGACACUGGAGCUGUAUCUGUGGCAGGUUGUGUUGAAGAUAGCACCGGGGGUGUUGAUAUGAACAACAAUGGCAGGUUUGAGAGUAGUACAUACGUGAACGGUUCUGUCCAACUGGUGAAAACAGAAUAACAAGCGGUGACGAAGUAUUUCAACACGAGCUAAAGGUGCAGUUGCAGGUUUUGGCUUUCAAUUCCUCCCUGAAUAUUUUUUCAAUUAUAACUUUCUUUUUUAGGUUAAUCUGAACAAAAAUUACCAUUUUUCUUUCCGGGGUUUUUGUGUAGCAAAAUGCAGUGCUAGGGAUGGUUCUUGAUUCUACAGUAAAGGUUCAUUCAGAGGCGGUGCAAGAGGCGGUGAUAAGGCAUGUUCAUGUUUAAUAAUGAAUGUGUUCAGAGGUUGUGUAUUUGUGUUUUGUCUUUAUGUGGUCUCUGGUGCUUUUUUGGUGUGUAUAACAGGAGACUGCGUGUGGCAUCUGCAGUGUGAAGGAUGUUGUGCAGUGGAGAAAAGAGGGGAGCCAGCAAUUUGGGUAAGUAGUAAUUUAAAUGGCUGGCUUUCAUUUCUCUAAUUUUUUCAGGCUUUUCAAGCUUGCAAACUGCAACUGAUCACAUCAAGCUGAAGAGCUGGAGCUGGGAUUUGUGAGCAGCCACUUGUACAGUUGCAUUUUUUAUGCCCUUUGACUAAGCUAACCUACACUAUAUCUUGUUUAGGAUUCUCCUAAACUCACCUUUUUGUUGGGUUUUUCUUUUUCUUUUUCAUUUGCUUUUUCUAGGAGUAGGGAGAGCCAGGGAGAGGGUGGUGGUGUGGUGGUUGUUGGGUUGUCUAGUGUGUUCUAGCAUAGGCUACUCUGUAAGCUGCAACAUUAUUAUACUCAUAUUUUUGGGAACUCAACACUCUACUGCUACUGUCAUCUCAAUCUUCUCUUCUGCUCUACAAUCAUUAAUUCAUAACUUCACUCUUUCGACUAAAACUAGAGAAAUGCAACUCAUUUCAUAACCACAAACAAAUGAACUAUAAAAUAAGGACAAAGAUGAGCAAAAUUGAUCGUAAUCGUAAUCAUAAUGAAUUUGUUAUCAAUGGAACAAUGAUUUGUUAAUAGCUUAUAUUGGCUUCAGGCACUCUCGCUAAUUGACAAAAUAAUUUAAAUAACAACGAAUUUGAUUGCGUUAAUCUGUUAAAAAUGUUUCUUAAAAGUUGGUUUAAACAUGACCUCGAUAACAUUUCUAAGGAUUUAUUGAAUGACACAGUUACAAGUACUUUACAUUUUCAUAUCAAUAAUAAUAAUAAACUGGCAUUUAAAAAUUCUUGAAGCAAAACUACAUUAAGUACACUUACUCGUGUAUAUUUUCUAGCAAACUUGUGUGUACACGAAAGUACUAAUUUAUUUCUUUAUUCAAACAGCAAUUUGUGACAACGUUGUUUGGUUUAGUUGUUUUGUCGCGUUGUUGUUCCGAUUUUUGGCAUCAUCAUCCUCGUACACACGUCACCAUCAGCCAAACAAGUACUGAAUGACUCCAUUUAAACAGUGACUUAAGCUUGAACUAAAAUUAAUUAAAUUCGUUAUUCGUUUUCCUAAUUAGCCGCGUUGGUCAAUAAAAUGUGUUUAUUCGCGCUUUCUAUUUAUAUGCAAGAACAUCAUACAAACACAAACAGUUAGUUAGUUUUGCGUUAAAGCCGGUCGUGAAAGCAAAAUGAGGAAGGUGGUAGCGUGCGCGACGGUGAUCGGAGCCGCGACGGCGUGCGCGGUGGGUGCGGUGGUGGUGCAUAGGUACGUGAGGAAAUGUCGACGGUGGGGAAGAGUGACGGAAAUACUGCAGGAAUUGGAGGAGAAGUGUGCGACGCCGUCGUGGAAGCUGAAGCGGAUUGCGGAUGCCAUGAACGUGGAGAUGCACGCUGGCCUUGCUUCCGAAGGUGGUAGCAAGCUCAAGAUGCUCAUUACCUACGUUGAUAAGCUCCCAACUGGGUAUUGUUUCAUUCUUUUUCUUCUUCCAAUCUACCUUCAAUCUAAGAUCUUAUUCAAUGUCUUUAUCGUUCUCCUUAUCACUGCUUUCUUCGAUCAAUCUAGAUCAAUUUCCUUCUUCACAUUUCUUCGCUUUUCAUAUAAUUAAAAGUUCGUUACCUCCAUACAUGAAUCUGCUGGUACGAAAAUGUUUAUAGUGAUUUUAUCUAGUUUGAACAGGAUUGUCUAUGUGAGCAUACAUGUGGUUUAACCAAAAACGAAAAAGGUUAGAUGUUGCUGAGAUGGUAGAUUUGUUAUUGUGUGGAUGAUUAUAUAUUAUUCCAGCUCGUUGAUUAUUUGAUUAUUGAAAUGUAUUGUCUACAAAAGGAAGUUGUGGAUGCAUCGCCAAUGAUGUGCCUUGUGCUACUAAAAUGAGUGUUAGGAAGCUACGAGCAUACUGAAUCUGACCUUUCUUAACUGUAACAUGACUGAAAAAUUCACUGCUAAUAUCCUUUGAAUUCAUAUUUAUGAGGUUCUUGUGAAUGAGAAGUUAGUGACUAUACACACACACACACACAC